rnacentral:rRNA from 1 species
UUUUGGCAAAUUGUUUAUUAGGGUAAUAUUAGUAUGUAUAGCACUGAAUAUCUAAAUAUGUAUUUAGAAGGGAGUUUU